rnacentral:lncRNA from 1 species
GCUGACUCUACAUGAUGCUAUUGUGAACAGUAGACGAAAGCUUAUUGUAACAACCCUUGCUCGAAUCCGUCACCAGAACAGGGUUACGGAGCAUCACUAGAGAUUACUAAUCAAACAGACAAAAAAUACAAACAUUUCAUAUCAUAUAGUAUGCAUGUCAAAAACCAAUCAAAUUCGUACAUAUUGUCCCUUAUACGACCCUUCGAGACCCAAAAUAAACAUUAGAAACAAAUCGGG